rnacentral:rRNA from 1 species
GACGAACGCUGGCGGCGUGCUUAACACAUGCAAGUCGAACGGAAAGGCCCUGCUUUUGUGGGGUGCUCGAGUGGCGAACGGGUGAGUAACACGUGAGUAACCUGCCCUUGACUUUGGGAUAACUUCAGGAAACUGGGGCUAAUACCGGAUAGGAGCUCCUGCUGCAUGGUGGGGGUUGGAAAGUUUCGGCGGUUGGGGAUGGACUCGCGGCUUAUCAGCUUGUUGGUGGGGUAGUGGCUUACCAAGGCUUUGACGGGUAGCCGGCCUGAGAGGGUGACCGGCCACUUGGGAACGAGAAUACGGCCCGAAUUCUUACGGGGGGCAGAGGUGGGGAUUAUUGCACAAGGGGCGGAGGCCGAAGGCAGAAAGGCCGCGGGGGGAUGACGGCCUUCGGGUUGUAAACCGCUUUCGCCUGUGACGAAGCGUGAGUGACGGUAAUGGGUAAAGAAGCACCGGCUAACUACGUG